rnacentral:rRNA from 1 species
AGACAAUAGAUACCCUGGUAGUCCACGCCGUAAACGUUGGGCGCUAGGUGUGGGGCUCAUUCCACGAGUUCCGUGCCGCAGCUAACGCAUUAAGCGCCCCGCCUGGGGAGUACGGCCGCAAGGCUAAAACUCAAAGGAAUUGACGGGGGCCCGGCACAAGCGGCGGAGCAUGUUGCUUAAUUUCGAUGCAACGCGAAGAACCUUACCUAGGCUUGACAUGCGCGGAAAUCUCGCAGAGAUGCGGGGUCCGGUAAGGGCCGGUGCACAGGUGGUGCAUGGUUGUCGUCAGCUCGUGUCGUGAGAUGUUGGGUUAAGUCCCGCAACGAGCGCAACCCUCGUUCCAUGUUGCCAGCACAUAAUGGUGGGGACUCAUGGGAGACUGCCGGGGUCAACUCGGAGGAAGGUGGGGAUGACGUCAAAUCAUCAUGCCCCUUAUGUCUAGGGCUGCAAACAUGCUACAAUGGCCGGUACAAAGGGCUGCGAUACCGCGAGGUGGAGCGAAUCCCAAAAAC